rnacentral:tRNA from 1 species
GGGGGCAUGGUUCAGUGGUAGAACAGCGGUCUCCAAAACCGCUGACCUAGGUUCGAUUCCUAGUGCCCCCG